rnacentral:rRNA from 1 species
AUUGAACGCUGGCGGCAGGCCUAACACAUGCAAGUCGAGCGAGCGGCGGACGGGUGAGUAAUGUCUGGGAAACUGCCUGAUGGAGGGGGAUCACUACUGGAAACGGUAGCUAAUACCGCAUACCAUCAGAUGUGCCCAGAGGGGAUUAGCUAGUAGGUGGGGUAACGGCCCACCUAGGAGACGAUCCCUAGCUGGUCUGAGAGGAUGACCAGCCACACUGGAACUGAGACACGGUCCAGACUCCUACGGGAGGCAGCAGGGGGGAAUAUUGCACAAUGGGCGCAAGCCUGAUGCAGCCAUGCCGAGUGGGUGAAGAAGGCCUUCGGGUUGUAAAGCACUUUCAGCGGGGAGGCGUUACCCGCAGAAGAAGCACCGGCUAACGCCGUGCCAGCAGCCGCGGUAAUAC